UUUUUCCUACAGGAUUGGGAAGUAAGUUUAUUCUCAGGACCCACAUCUCCCUUGUCACCAGGAAAGGUAUUUCGCUGGAAGGUAAUGGGGAGAUGGGUGUCCUGAGGCACCACUGGGGACUGUGCACACUGGCACAGGCCAGGGGAAAGAUACAGGGCACAGCUCAUCAAGGAAAUUUACAAAUGUCCAUGCUCCCUGACCUAGGGGUUCCAAAUGAAGACAAAGGCACAAAGAUGCUCAUCAAAGUGAUAUGAACCACAGCAAAUAUGUAUCGUAGCAAAAAUCUGGAAAUAAUCUACAUGCCCAGUCAUCAUGGAAUAAACACUGGUUACAUCCACUAUAUUCCGUAAAUACUGGACAUCACUGAAAACUCUACUGCGACACAAGAACAACAUAAGUGAAGACUCCAGGGUGCAAACUAGCAUUUCUUGUAAUAACAAUGAUGUAAAAUUCUGUCCCUAAGUGGACAGAAUUGGAAGUAUAGAACCAAGUAUGUGAGAGCUUCUGGGUUAAGGUGAUGUACUUAGGAGCAGGGCUCUUGUUUAUAAUAAAAACAGGAAAAGCGCGCGACAUUGCCAAGCAACUGACAUUGCCAACAUGAUUCUGUGAGUGGAGGCAGGCUCUGUCCUCAGGUGGGCAGGGGGCCCCUGGCAGCUGUUCCCACUAACCCUGUCCCAAGGUACCCACAGCACCUUGGAUGUACCAAUGGCAUCACUUCCUCAUUCACUCAAGCUCUUACACACACUGCCCAGCCAACACUGUCUAAGCACCUACUUUCCUAGGCACUGGGACAGAAAGCUGGAUGUGAGCCCUGCUGGGAGGCCCAGUCUGGAGAAAGGAAACAUGAAGGCCAGAAGCCAAUAAUCCUCACAGGGUGAUUAUGAUGAGGAAAUGAGAUCAUGCAUGUGAAACACCUACCCUGCCACAUGGCUGAUAAUCCAGUGUUCACCAGAGCAGUGGCCUAGCAGCCACUGGCUAGAAGUCUGCUCACCUUUCUGAUUCAGGAACUCAACUCCAUCAAUAAAGGACAUCUCUCAACAGUCUGAGGA